rnacentral:rRNA from 1 species
CCGAUCCUAGGGGGGCAGCAGUGAGGAAUAUUGGUCAAUGGCCGGAAGGCUGAACCAGCCAAGCCGCGUGAAGGACGAAGGUGCCAAGCAUUGUAAACUUCUUUUGUCAAGGGACAAAAUCAGGCUCGAGAGCCUGACCGAGGGUACUUGAAGAAAAAGCAUCGGCUAACUCCGUGCCAGCAGCCGCGGUAAUACGGAGGAUGCGAGCGUUAUCCGGAUUUAUUGGGUUUAAAGGGUGCGUAGGCGGGCUGUUAAGUCAGCGGUAAAAUCCCGGGGCUCAACCCCGGCGAGCCGUUGAAACUGGG